GGGCUCGUAGCUCAGCCUGGUUAGAGCGGAUGGCUCUUAACCAUCAGGCCGGGGGUUCGAAGCGGGCAUGAAGCCCACCUAGACGAAACAGCUUCCUGGCACGAAAGUCCCCUCGGGCCCG
rnacentral:tRNA from 1 species